CAGGAAAUAGUUUAAUAAGAAUGAUAGCUUUGGGAGUUGUUAGUGUAAAUAUGGAAAUUUUACUUUUCUGA
rnacentral:tRNA from 1 species